rnacentral:rRNA from 1 species
UACGUAGGGUGCAAGCGUUGUCUGGAAUUAUUGGGCGUAAAGAGCUCGUAGGCGGUUUGUUGCGUCGGCUGUGAAAUCCCGAGGCUCAACCUCGGGUCUGCAGUCGAUACGAGCAAACUAGAGUGUUGCAGGGGAGACUGGAAUUCCUGGUGUAGCGGUGAAAUGCGUAGAUAUCAGGAAGAACACCCGUGGCGAAGGCGGCUCUCUGGAACGCAACUGACGCUGAGACGCGAAAGCGUGGGGAGCAAACAGG